UCAGAUUGAACGCUGGCGGCAGGCCUAACACAUGCAAGUCGAGCGGUAACACAGGGAGCUUGCUCCUGGGUGACGAGCGGCGGACGGGUGAGUAAUGUCUGGGAAACUGCCUGAUGGAGGGGGAUAACUACUGGAAACGGUAGCUAAUACCGCAUAAUGUCGCAAGACCAAAGAGGGGGACCUUCGGGCCUCUUGCCAUCAGAUGUGCCCAGAUGGGAUUAGCUAGUAGGUGGGGUAAUGGCUCACCUAGGCGACGAUCCCUAGCUGGUCUGAGAGGAUGACCAGCCACACUGGAACUGAGACACGGUCCAGACUCCUACGGGAGGCAGCAGUGGGGAAUAUUGCACAAUGGGCGCAAGCCUGAUGCAGCCAUGCCGCGUGUAUGAAGAAGGCCUUCGGGUUGUAAAGUACUUUCAGCGAGGAGGAAGGCGAUAAGGUUAAUAACCUUGUCGAUUGACGUUACUCGCAGAAGAAGCACCGGCUAACUCCGUGCCAGCAGCCGCGGUAAUACGGAGGGUGCAAGCGUUAAUCGGAAUUACUGGGCGUAAAGCGCACGCAGGCGGUCUGUCAAGUCGGAUGUGAAAUCCCCAGUCUUGUAGAGGGGGGUAGAAUUCCAGGUGUAGCGGUGAAAUGCGUAGAGAUCUGGAGGAAUACCGGUGGCGAAGGCGGCCCCCUGGACAAAGACUGACGCUCAGGUGCGAAAGCGUGGGGAGCAAACAGGAUUAGAUACCCUGGUAGUCCACGCCGUAAACGAUGUCGACUUGGAGGCUGUUCCCUUGAGGAGUGGCUUCCGGAGCUAACGCGUUAAGUCGACCGCCUGGGGAGUACGGCCGCAAGGUUAAAACUCAAAUGAAUUGACGGGGGCCCGCACAAGCGGUGGAGCAUGUGGUUUAAUUCGAUGCAACGCGAAGAACCUUACCUACUCUUGACAUCCACGGAACUUAGCAGAGAUGCUUUGGUGCCUUCGGGAACCGUGAGACAGGUGCUGCAUGGCUGUCGUCAGCUCGUGUUGUGAAAUGUUGGGUUAAGUCCCGCAACGAGCGCAACCCUUAUCCUUUGUUGCCAGCGGUCCGGCCGGGAACUCAAAGGAGACUGCCAGUGAUAAACUGGAGGAAGGUGGGGAUGACGUCAAGUCAUCAUGGCCCUUACGAGUAGGGCUACACACGUGCUACAAUGGCGCAUACAAAGAGAAGCGACCUCGCGAGAGCAAGCGGACCUCAUAAAGUGCGUCGUAGUCCGGAUUGGAGUCUGCAACUCGACUCCAUGAAGUCGGAAUCGCUAGUAAUCGUAGAUCAGAAUGCUACGGUGAAUACGUUCCCGGGCCUUGUACACACCGCCCGUCACACCAUGGGAGUGGGUUGCAAAAGAAGUAGGUAGCUUAACCUUCGGGAGGGCGCUUACCACUUUGUGAUUCAUGACUGGGGUGAAGUC
rnacentral:rRNA from 1 species